GUCCUUACAUGGAAGUGUUGCAUGCAUGAAAGAGAUUCUUCAUGCCACCCAUAUGAAUUUAGUUGCAAAAUUUAUAAGCGUGGUAAAAGAAAAGUCUUUCUUUUACACACUAUUAAUAUAUGAUAUCUAUGGGUGUGGAAGAGGAUUUUUCUACACUUGGGACUCCACCACACUAUUUAUUCUUCCAUAAGGAUUCAUUUUUUCAUGU
rnacentral:lncRNA from 1 species